rnacentral:rRNA from 1 species
UAGGGAAUCUUCGGCAAUGGGGGGAACCCUGACCGAGCAACGCCGCGUGAGUGACGAAGGUUUUCGGAUCGUAAAGCUCUGUUGUUAAGGAAGAACGAGUGUGAGAAUGGAAAGUUCAUGCUGUGACGGUACUUAACCAGAAAGGGACGGCUAACUACGUGCCAGCAGCCGCGGUAAUACGUAGGUCCCGAGCGUUGUCCGGAGUUAUUGGGCGUAAAGCGAGCGCAGGCGGUUAGAAAAGUCUGAAGUGAAAGGCAGUGGCUCAACCAUUGUAGGCUUUGGAAACUGUUUAACUUGAGUGCAGAAGGGGAGAGUGGAAUUCCAUGUGUAGCGGUGAAAUGCGUAGAUAUAUGGAGGAACACCGGUGGCGAAAGCGGCUCUCUGGUCUGUAACUGACGCUGAGGCUCGAAAGCGUGGGGAGCGAACAGG